UACAAGACAACCUUCCACUCUACCGUCUGCCUAACUGAUACCUGGUCAUGUAUCAGUGGGGACUGUGGGAAUGAGAUCAGUUUAGUGGUUAACACAGUGGACCAGGCGAUAUCUGAGGUCUGGUGUCAGACAGAGGGAGUCAUGACUAGACACGUCUCCAAUAACACAAAGACCUUUGAUCUGCUAUUGGUUGGCGGAAACUGGAUAAACAAUGAUAAUUCUGUUGUUCUUUGGAGGCUGUGGACUCAUGUGGAUCUUGGGGUCAGGUCUGACACGAAGACAGUCAACCGAUCUCCACAGACCACUGUCGUACCUCUGAUGCGUGUCCCUGCUAAUUGUCCAAGAGAUUUCAACCUGUUGUCGUUUGAUCCAGACGGGGAUGAGGUCAGAUGCAGAUAUGCAGUACCAACAAAUGAGUGUGUCACAUCAAGUGACCUUCCUAAUGACUUCACUUUA